rnacentral:tRNA from 1 species
GAGAGAUAGCUCAGCGGUUAAGAGCACUGGUUGUUCUUGCAGAAGACCUGGGUUUGAUUCCCAGUCCGCUCA